rnacentral:tRNA from 1 species
AUUUAAAUAGCUUAAAAAGAGCAUAAUAUUGAAGAUAUUAAGGUAAUAUUUGUAUUUUUAAAUA